rnacentral:lncRNA from 1 species
GCAGUGAAGAUAUUAUCUCAAUACAAUAAAAAAUUACCAAAGGAACUCAGAAAUAUCUGCCUAGUUUUUUAGGUCCUAGUCUAAAGAUGUCAAGGAGAAGGAGCUGAGGUUUUGGAGAAAAAAAAGAAAGAUGAAGUGUUAGAAAGAAUGGAGAACAAAUAUUUGUUAUCUCCUACUAUGUACAGGAACUGUUGAUUUUUAUAAGAUAGGUGAUUUUUUGUUGUUGUUGUUGGAAAAUAACAUAUCAAAGAUAUAUGCUUUCAUGUAACAAUCAAUGAUAAAAUCAGAGGGCAAAAACAAGUCUGUCUAGUGCCAAAGUUGGUGGCUUUCUAAUUAUCAUAAAUGCAUCACAAUCACCAGAAGUUGUUUAAAGAUGGUAAAUCUCUAUUCAUAGAGUUAUUAUUCCAUAUUAAUCUAUUAUUCUAGUAGUUGCUAGAAUUACACUCCUA